UGGGGCGUAGCCAAGCGGUAAGGCAUCGGGUUUUGAUCCCGUGAUUCGCAGGUUCGACGACCUCGCGAAGCGA
rnacentral:tRNA from 1 species